rnacentral:lncRNA from 1 species
GCACAGCAGAUGUUGCCGCUCCUCGGAUGGAGCUGUUAAUGUAAGUGGAGUUUCUGCAAUGGUAAUUAGGAGGGCCCUCAUUACCCUGGCGGAGCCGGCUGAGAGCCGAUAAAGCCGAGGGGGAGAAGGGCCGACAUCAGGGUAAUGGGGGAGCAGGGCCAUUGAGGAGCUGGAGCCGAGCCGGGGACCGCUCCGCGCGCAGCUGGAGCCCGGCGAGAGGGCCGCGGAAGGGGGGUGCGAACCGGGGCCGGACCCCGGGGAGGAGCCGGGAGGCGAGCGGCGAGGGGCACUGCGCGGCUGGGUCUGCCCCGGGGUUUCGCACUGCGCCGCGGGUCGAAGUACCGCGAGUUGGCCCUGACUGUCUGCAGGAUGAGGGUGUCGAGGAGGGUUCCAGGCCAGCGUGCCUGCCUCGCCUCCAGCCCGGGGUAAGGAGAUCCACGGAGGCCUCUGCGCCUAAACUCAGGUGGCCAGACAGAGUUGGGGCGGGAGGCGGGUAUACGGAAAGGACACCCUUCCCCUCUAUGGGCCCCGCCCGCUGUGCAAGGGUGGGGAACUAGCACCCUCGUCCAGCGUCUAGCGUGACCAAGACAUGUACUGUAGAAUAGCCAACACAAGAGUUGACGGCUCCAGAAUGUCAGAUCACAGACGAGAAGACCAGCCUUCAGGGUUGGAGGUAGAAGCCUCUUGACUCUUUGGAUUGAAAGGAGACCAGUCACCCCUCCUGGGAGGACUCUCCCACCCAUCCUCCCCUACAUAGUAACCUCUCAGCCCUAGAGGAGCUACAAGAAAAGCGAAUUGGAGAAGCUCAUCCAAGCAGUCCUAAGUACCUUGCUUCCAUGCAGGGCUUUGCAGGAAGAGGAAGGGAGGCAGGGAAGGGUACGGUGACAGCUGUAGACAUCACCUGCAGCUCUGCUCCCCGGCCAGGAACCCAGGAGGCCCUCCCAGACCCCCAGAAUGGGGUUCUGGGGUGGGCAACUCAUUUGCCAUCUAUCCUCCCCACACCUGAAUAUUUUAGGAUGGGCCUCCAGCGCUUUCCAGGCUAACUCAGCGAGCCCAGUCUUCUUAGUCAACUGAGAGACAUGUCUACAGAACAGACCAUGUGGCCAACUCCUCCUCCUCCCCAUGCCCCAGGCAAGAGGACUCUGGGAAGACAUCCAGGAAGCAAGGAGUCUGUAGCCAGCUGCCUUCAGAAGCCCAAGGUCAUUGGCCCUGCCACUCUGGUUUGCCAACUCCUCAAGGACCACAUAGGCCCAACUGUUAUGGAAAGGGUGGACCAGAGAGAGGGGCUUCUUUUCCUUCGGCUUUGGGGAAGGCAAAGGCAAUUCCUGCCACUGCCCACUCCAGAGACGGCCGCAUCUUCCAGGUGACUAAAGGCAAGUGAUGGUUCUGAGGAGACCAGGACUGUGGGGAGCUCCUGGGCUCAGUGGGGGGAGCUCCUGGGCUCAGUGGGGGGAGCUCCUGGCCUCGGGGAGAGCCCCAGAUGUCGCUCCCCUCUUCAGCUGCAUGGCAGAGCAGGGGUUAACAGGGAGAGGCUGCAAGGCUGGAGCUGCGAGGCUGGAGCAGGCGGUGGCUCCCGCCUCUUCACCACCCCCCUCAAGAGUUGCUGACUCUUCCUUUUUGUUCGGGCUGACAGCGAGCACCUGGUGUGCUCCUGCAACAAUAUUGUUCCUGCCUCCCUCCCCCCAGGCCCCAGGCUCCCUUCCCUCUCCCCCUCCCCGCCCGCCGGCAACCUUCCCCUCUGCCUCCUCUUUCCCUUGCCCCCUCCUGCCUGUGGCCUCCUAGGCACCCCCCUACCACAACCACCACAAGCACCGACGCUGCAGUGUCAAUAAACACAACAUAUGCUGCCAUUAAUGUGAAAAUCGUGCCCUCUACCCCAUUCAUCUCCUCAGCCUGCCCGCCCGCUGGGGGUGGGGGUGGGGGGUGGGGGAAAGAAAGGUCAAGUGGGAAGCAUUAACUACCCUCUUUUUCCUAUCUGCUCAGCCCCCACCCCCACCCCCAGACUGGAGAGAAGAAAAGGAAUUGGAGGAGAAGGAAUGGGAUAAGGGUGGGGGUUUUCUGAGACCCACAUUCUCUCUGACAUGCCCACUGAGCCUCCCCACAGGAAAACAGGUGAGCGUCCUCAUCCAGCCCACGGUCUUCAACUUUGGGGUGGGGGCCAGAGUGAGGCCCUUGGCCUGCCCAUGGACAGCCAUGUUGCGGGCACGCUUCGCCUGGGGCCAAAUGUGGUCACGCAAGUGGGUCUCUUUCUCCUGCACAUCCAGCAGUCAUCUCAGCUCCUGGGGACUUUCUGUCUGUCCACAGGAUUAUGAAAGAAAUACUAGAAGUAUUCUCCAAGUUGGGUUGGGCUUCAGAAAGCCCUUUUGAUAUAAGCCAAAUACCUCAGAUGGCCAAGGGAGUGGCCUGGCCUCAGUCUCCUCAACUAAAUCACCAGUUCCAAGACAGCAGGGAAUAAUAAAGAUAAAAAUAAUAUAAUAACGACAGCUAAC